AGGAUGAAGAUGGAGAUUGGUACGAGACUGGGCUUCAUAUAUUUUUUGGAGCUUAUCCCAACAUACAGAAUCUGUUUGGCGAGCUUAGGAUUGAGGAUCGUUUACAGUGGAAAGAACACUCUAUGAUAUUCGCCAUGCCAAACAAGCCAGGAGAAUUCAGCCGGUUUGAUUUCCCAGAAACUUUGCCAGCACCUAUAAAUGGGAUAUGGGCCAUAUUGAGAAACAAUGAAAUGCUUACUUGGCCGGAGAAGGUGAAGUUUGCAAUCGGACUUCUGCCAGCAAUGGUUGGUGGUCAACCUUAUGUUGAAGCUCAAGAUGGCUUAACCGUUUCAGAAUGGAUGAAAAAGCAGGUAUGAGUUAAAUAUGC